rnacentral:tRNA from 1 species
GGCCGUGUGCCCGAGUGGUUCAGGGACUCGCCUGCAAAGCGAGAUACGCGGGUUCGAUCCCCGCCACGGCCU